CAGUCGCCGCGGUAAUACGUAGGGUGCAAGCGUUAAUCGGAAUUACUGGGCGUAAAGCGUGCGCAGGCGGUUAUAUAAGACAGAUGUGAAAUCCCCGGGCUCAACCUGGGAACUGCAUUUGUGACUGUAUAGCUAGAGUACGGCAGAAGGGGAUGGAAUUCCGCGUGUAGCAGUGAAAUGCGUAGAUAUGCGGAGGAACACCGAUGGCGAAGGCAAUCCCCUGGGCCUGUACUGACGCUCAUGCACGAAAGCGUGGGGAGCAAACAGGAUUAGAUACCCCUGUAGUCCCUGUCUCUUAUAC
rnacentral:rRNA from 1 species